GCCUCCGUAGCUUAGUGGUGGAGCAUGCGGCUGUUAACCGCAAGGUCCCCGGUUCGAACAAGGAAUCAGAGGCU
rnacentral:tRNA from 1 species